AACGAACGCUGGCGGCAUGCCUAACACAUGCAAGUCGAACGAGACCUUCGGGUCUAGUGGCGCACGGGUGCGUAACGCGUGGGAACCUGCCCUUAGGUUCGGAAUAACUCCCCGAAAGGGGUGCUAAUACCGGAUAAUGUCUUCGGACCAAAGAUUUAUCGCCUUUGGAUGGGCCCGCGUUGGAUUAGCUAGUUGGUAGGGUAAAAGCCUACCAAGGCGACGAUCCAUAGCUGGUCUGAGAGGAUGAUCAGCACACUGGGACUGAGACACGGCCCAGACUCCUACGGGAGGCAGCAGUGGGGAAUAUUGGACAAUGGGCGAAAGCCUGAUCCGGCAAUGCCGCGUGAGUGAUGAAGGCCUUAGGGUUGUAAAGCUCUUUUACCCGGGAUGAUAAUGACAGUACCGGGAGAAUAAGCUCCGGCUAACUCCGUG
rnacentral:rRNA from 1 species